rnacentral:rRNA from 1 species
CUUAAAUUGAAGAGUUUGAUCAUGGCUCAGAUUGAACGCUGGCGGCAGGCCUAACACAUGCAAGUCGAGCGGAAACGAGUUAUCAGAACCUUCGGGGGACGAUAGCGGCGUCGAGCGGCGGACGGGUGAGUAAUGCCUAGGAAA